rnacentral:lncRNA from 1 species
AAAGAAUUUAUUGACUAGAAAGUUAAUAAUAGUAAGCCUUUCGUACUUCUAAAUAUAGGCUUAGUUUGGUAAUGAGGUGGAUCUAAAACUAUUAAAUAGAAUGGAGUUGAGAAAAAGCAUAUACGGAUAUGCUUCUACGUUCUCCAAUGGGACCGCAGAAAAUAUAUCGUAACCGACUAACUACAAUAUACGGAACGCAAUAUUACGUACGAAAACAAACAAGCUGGGAUAUUUUUUCAUCGUCGUUUCUUAUCGCAUGUAAUGUAAUCUCCCCGCAAUCCCAAACGAAAUCAUAGUCUGGCUAGUGAACUUCAUAAAUACUUAUAAAUAUUUAUUUUUCUACUCUAUCAUAUAUUUCUUAAAAUUUUAUUUUAUUUACUCAAAAUUUAAAAUUAUAGCACUAAUUAACUCGUGCUAUUACUAUUUCGUCAC